GUGAACGCUGGCGGUAGGCCUAACACAUGCAAGUCGAACGGCAGCACAGUAAGAGCUUGCUCUUCCGGGUGGCGAGUGGCGGACGGGGGAGGAAUACAUCGGAAUCUACUUUUUCGUGGGGGAUAACGUAGGGAAACUUACGCUAAUACCGCAUACGACCUACGGGUGAAAGCAGGGGAUCUUCGGACCUUGCGCGAUUGAAUGAGCCGAUGUCGGAUUAGCUAGUUGGCGGGGUAAAGGCCCACCAAGGCGACGAUCCGUAGCUGGUCUGAGAGGAUGAUCAGCCACACUGGAACUGAGACACGGUCCAGACUCCUACGGGAGGCAGCAGUGGGGAAUAUUGGACAAUGGGCGCAAGCCUGAUCCAGCCAUACCGCGUGGGUGAAGAAGGCCUUCGGGUUGUAAAGCCCUUUUGUUGGGAAAGAAAAGCAGCAGGUUAAUACCCCGCUGUUCUGACGGUACCCAAAGAAUAAGCACCGGCUAACUUCGUG
rnacentral:rRNA from 1 species